UAAGGGUGCUCGACUUGUA
rnacentral:miRNA from 1 species